rnacentral:rRNA from 1 species
GACGAACGAUGGCGGGGGGCGGAAAAGAGGAAAGUCGAAAGGAAAGGACGGCUUUCCAGGGGGGAUGGCGGGUACUCGAGUGGCGAACGGGUGAGUAACACGGGAGUGAUCUGCCCCCAACUUGGGUAGAAGCCUGGGAAACUGGGUCUAAUUCCCGAUAGGACUGCAGGGUGGUGCCUGUGGUGGAAAACGAUUUUCUAGUGGUUGGGGAUGAGCUCGCGGCCUAUCAGCUUGUUGGUGGGGUAAUGGCCUACCAAGAGGGCGACGGGUAGCCGGCCUGCCCUCGUGGCCUUCACCAUUGGGCCUGCGAUACGGCCCACCCUCCUACGGGAGGCAGCAGUGGGGAAUAUUGCACAAUGGGCGGAAGCCUGAUGCAGCGACGCCGCGUGGGGGAUGACGGCCUUCGGGUUGUCCACUCCUUUCGACCGCGAGGAAGCCACCUGGUUGGAAGGGUGGUGACGGUAGUGGUAGAAGAAGCACCGGCUCCCUACGUU